rnacentral:rRNA from 1 species
GACGAACGCUGGCGGCGCGCUUAACACAUGCAAGUCGAGCGAGAACCAGGGCCUUCGGGCCUGGGGAAAGCGGCGAACGGGUGAGUAACACGUGGGUAACCCACCCUUGGUACCGGGAUAGCCCGAGGAAACUCGGAUUAAUACCGGAUGGCCCAACCAGCUUCUCGGAGCGGUUGGAAAAGGUAGCUUCGGCCUCCGACCAAGGACGGGCCCGCGGCGGAUUAGCUUGUUGGUGGGGUAACGGCUCACCAAGGCGACGAUCCGAGCUGGUCUGAGAGGACGAUCAGCCACACUGGGACUGAGACACGGCCCAGACUCCUACGGGAGGCAGCAGUGGGGAAUCUUGCGCAAUGGGCGAAAGCCUGACGCAGCGACGCCGCGUGGGGAAGAAGCUUUCGG